GACAGAGGGUGCGAACGUUGUUCGGAAUUACUGGGCGUAAAGCGCGUGUAGGCGGCUUGGCAAGUCGGGUGUGAAAGCCCCGGGCUCAACCUAGGAAGUGCACUCGAAACUGCCGAGCUGGAGUUCUGGAGAGGAAGGCGGAAUUCUCGGUGUAGAGGUGAAAUUCGUAGAUAUCGAGAGGAACACCGGUGGCGAAGGCGGCCUUCUGGACAGUGACUGACGCUGAGACGCGAAAGCGUGGGGAGCAAACAGG
rnacentral:rRNA from 1 species